rnacentral:rRNA from 1 species
UACGAAGGGGGCUAGCGUUGUUCGGAAUUACUGGGCGUAAAGCGCGUGUAGGCGGCGCGGUAAGUCGGGUGUGAAAUCUCGGAGCUUAACUCCGAAACUGCAUUCGAUACUGCCGUGCUUGAGGACUGGAGAGGAGACUGGAAUUUACGGUGUAGCGGUGAAAUGCGUAGAUAUCGUAAGGAAGACCAGUGGCGAAGGCGGGUCUCUGGACAGUUCCUGACGCUGAGGCACGAAGGUCAGGGGAGCAAACGGG